rfam:Aedes albopictus isolate Foshan contig71352, whole genome shotgun sequence.
UGCCCAGCAACUCCUAUCCUUACCUCCUCGCGGUACCGGCCGGAAACUAUGAGUAACCUUAGGGAAGAUCGGGUAACCAACCCCGGUGGGAACUUUGGUCGUAGGCUGACAGGGAAGG